GCGUUGCUCGGAAUCACUGGGCGUAAAGGGCGCGUAGGCGGCUGAUUUAGUCGAGGGUGAAAGCCCGUGGCUCAACCACGGAAUGGCCUUCGAUACUGAUUGGCUUGAGACCGGAAGAGGACAGCGGAACUGCGAGUGUAGAGGUGAAAUUCGUAGAUAUUCGCAAGAACACCAGUGGCGAAGGCGGCUGUCUGGUCCGGUUCUGACGCUGAGGCGCGAAAGCGUG
rnacentral:rRNA from 1 species